UAGCAUAUCAAUAAGCGGAGGAAAAGAAACCAACAGGGAUUGCCCUAGUAACGGCGAGUGAAGCGGCAACAGCUCAAAUUUGAAAUCUGGCUCUCUUUGGGGGUCCGAGUUGUAAUUUGCAGAGGAUGCUUUGGCAUUGGCGGCGGUCUAAGUUCCUUGGAACAGGACAUCACAGAGGGUGAGAAUCCCGUACGUGGUCGCCUGCCUUUGCCGUGUAAAGCUCCUUCGACGAGUCGAGUUGUUUGGGAAUGCAGCUCUAAAUGGGAGGUAAAUUUCUUCUAAAGCUAAAUACUGGCCAGAGACCGAUAGCGCACAAGUAGAGUGAUCGAAAGAUGAAAAGUACUUUGGAAAGAGAGUCAAAAAGCACGUGAAAUUGUUGAAAGGGAAGCGCUUGCAGCCAGACUUGCCCGCAGUUGCUCACCUAGGCUUUGGCCUGGGGCACUCUUCUGCGGGCAGGCCAGCAUCAGUUUGGGCGGUUGGAUAAAGGCCUCUGUCACGUAUCUCCCUUCGGGGUGACCUUAUAGGGGAGGCGCAAUGCAACCAGCCCGGACUGAGGUCCGCGCAUCUGCUAGGAUGCUGGCGUAAUGGCUGUAAGCGGCCCGUCUUGAAACACGGACCAAGGAGUCUAACAUCUAUGCGAGUGUUUGGGUGUCAAGCCCGAGCGCGCAAUGAAAGUGAACGGAGGUGGGAACCCUUUGGGUGCACCAUCGACCGAUCCUGAUGUCUUCGGAUGGAUUUGAGUAAGAGCAUAGCUGUUGGGACCCGAAAGAUGGUGAACUAUGCUUGAAUAGGGUGAAGCCAGAGGAAACUCUGGUGGAGGCUCGCAGCGGUUCUGACGUGCAAAUCGAUCGUCAAAUUUGGGCAUAGGGGCGAAAGACUAAUC
rnacentral:rRNA from 1 species